rnacentral:RNase_MRP_RNA from 1 species
ACGAAUAUUACAAGCCAAACUCACGGGAUCACAAACGAGUUCCUAGUAACUCAAAAUCAUUUUAUGGUUUUUUCUAUCCUGGGAAAAGUCCCCGGGCCUGUAGUAGAAAGUACUGAUGCGUAACUCGCAUUUAUUACAGUUGUCGAGCGUUUGCCCAUAAAUGCGAUAAAAGUUUCGACUUUUUGAUUUUCGUGGUAAACGCAUGCUUCUGUAAAUCGGCCAGAAUCUAUAGAUAUGAUUUGGAUUUUUCGUUUGAUCAUUGCGUAUCAAUUGUAAAUCUACCUUAAUGGGGCUCAGUCUGCAAUGUUUG